AAACCCUGAUGCAGCCAUGCCGCGUGUGUGAAGAAGGCCUUCGGGUUGUACAGCACUUUCAGUCAGGAGGAAGGUGGUGUAGCUAAUAUCUGCACCAAUUGACGUUACUGCCAGAAGAAGCAUCGGCUAACUCCGUGCCAGCAGCCGCGGUAAUACGUAGGGGGCUAGCGUUAUCCGGAUUUACUGGGCGUAAAGGGUGCGUAGGUGGUUUCUUAAGUCAGGAGUGAAAGGCUACGGCUCAACCGUAGUAAGCUCUUGAAACUGGGAAACUUGAGUGCAGGAGAGGAAAGUGGAAUUCCUAGUGUAGCGGUGAAAUGCGUAGAUAUUAGGAGGAACACCAGUAGCGAAGGCGGCUUUCUGGACUGUAACUGACACUGAGGCACGAAAGCGUGGGGAGCAAACA
rnacentral:rRNA from 2 species